rnacentral:lncRNA from 1 species
AUAACCACAAAAUUGGCACGAACGACUAAGCAGGGAGGUUACAUGCAGUGGCGGCCUGUGAGUUACCUUAGUUCAGACCGGGAUAUUAACUUGUCCACUGACCCAAACAUUGAUGGCAACUUUACUUCACUGACGGAAAUCUCUAUUGCCCUGGAAGAGUCUUUGGCCUAUGCAGUGUUUGGGGAUAAAUUGGAAUCAGCAAUGACUGCCCAGACAAAAGUUUCUUUUGGCCAGAAGAAGGACAAAUUUUAUGCUGCAAAUAACUACACCACAUGGACUGUUGGCUUUGGACAUGGAUCGCCACCAAAGGAAACUUUCUCCACGAUGGUGAUCCUUGUCAUAACCCUAGGUCUAAGCAUCCCAGCAUUGAUGUUUCUGAUUGGAUGUGUAGUGAUAGCCAGUCGCAAGUGCCGUAGGUCAACUGAUCAACUUAUUGUUAAUUAAUUUUUCAGAUUUUCCAAACUUUGUAUUUAUUAUUGAGUUACGGUAAGUAUAAUUUUAUGUAUUUUUGUAGAUUUGAAGUAUUUAUCCUGUAAAGUGCCUUGAAGUGGAGAGAAUUCACAGUAUGAUACUCAUAUAAGAUACUCUUGUUAUUCUAACAUUACAGUCGCAUGAGCUCUUUAUUUGCUUCUUGUAGAAAAAAAAUUAUUUGCUUGCAAGAAAAGGUUAUUAAAUUUUUUCAAGCUGAAAAUAAAGAACUCUAUAUUUAUUUUCAUGUGAAGAAAGCACUUCUUCCCUGCCUCCAGCCUUGUUCAUCCAUUUGAAGUGAUUUAAUGUCCAUUCACUAAAUUGAGAGAGGCUUUGUGGAUCAAAAGGAAUUUUGGGAUACGGCUUCAUGUCAAGAGUAUUUAAGCUUAGUUUGGUAAUCAACAUUUCCUAACUUUCUGUACUGGUUUAUAGAAGCCCUCGUUUUUUUUUAAUUCAGUGCUGUAUUAAGAAACAUUAGGCUAUUAAACUUCUAUUGCUGUUAAAACCACAAAAGUGUGACCACUUAAGCAUUCCUUUAGUUGAGUAAUUUUUUUAUUAAAAGACUAGCUUUAUGAAAUCAAGAAUAACUUAUUUUUAUAUUAAAUAAUAUUGAAUGUAUGGCUGCUAUCACUAACAUUACAUUGAUUUUUUUUUUUUACAAGAGAACAGAUUUUAUGCUUGAUAUCACUAUAAAUGUAAGAUAUCUUUGGUAGUCAGUUUACAUAAAAUUCCCAGUCUACAGUUGAAGGAAUGAAGGUGGUGGUUAAGUGUAGUGCCAGCCAUGGACCAAAAAAAGGCUUAGUCUACCGUGUGCUGGAUCUGCACUACCCAUAAUGAGGUGGCAGGUCUAUGGAACGCACUCUCAUAUUCACUUUGGUACUUGGGAUUCGACACUGAGUGAAUGCAGCUCCUGCCACAUGUCCUAAAGGUUACUGGUUUGCACCAGGGGCACUCCCAGUACACCCAGCUGUGAAUGAAUACACAACUUUAUAGUUAAGGAAGCAAGGGCAGUUGAGUGUAGUGUUGGCCACACAACCUCCUUUAGAACCAAAGGCUUGGUGUUCAGUGUAUUGUAUCCACACUGCCAUUACUGGAACAUCAAGAUAAUGGGAUCCACUUGAACUCUGACAUAUGACUAUCAUAUUGUAUUUUGUGAUAUACAUGUUUUUCAAACCAAAGUUUAUUAUUUAGGUUUGCACUGUAGAAGAUUCAUGUAGUUAUCUAUAAAGUGAUAUUUUACAAAUAUAUAUCCAGUAUGUAGUACUGUACUGUGUUACUUAGAGAUAUAUGAUUAUACUGUAUAGUGAAGUAGUAAUUUAUCAUGAUGUAAGUUGUGCUAUUUUGAGAGCCUGCUGAAAUGUAUAGACUUGUUCCAAUAAUUUUAAUUGUCAGUAAUCUACAAAUCUUCAAAUGUUGAAGGUUCUUCCUUGACAUUCACAACAAUUAUUGAACAAAGACUGGCUUCUGUAAGUAAACACUUGCAUCACAUUCCAGUGGUUGAAAUUUCCUUUUGGGAGGUGAGGCUUUAUACAAGUUCCUUUGCUCCAUGUGCAUGUCUGCUCAGCAAUGAUUAGUGCCAAGUAUUUUAGGGGUUACUGUAUUAGGUUCCUCAAUUCCAAGCAAAUUGUGCAGUUCAGGGUUAGCCAUUUUCACUGGUCCAAACUGCUUGCUAUCUGUUGCCAUGGGUUUUGUGAUGACAAGAAGCUUCAACACCUAAACAGAAAAAGUAAAGUGACAGGGACUGGAAGACAACAGUGUUUGAAGAGUGGUUCCAACUUGAAAACUAUACAGUACCCAUGUGGGAUGCAGGGUAUGUGGAGGAUUUGGGGAGAUGACAAAAUAGUUUAAGAGUGAAUGUGACCUGAAUAAAGAACCACCAAAGCUAGUUUGGCUCAGUGGCUGUUAAGUCUGUCAUCCACUUAAUUCUUUUGGAAAAAAAAAUUUCCUCAAGUAUACCUCUUGUAAGAGCCUCUGUUCUUGGUUUAUUCAUGUAAAUUCUCUCCUUAAGGUAUCCCCAGAGAAAUUAGUCUGGUGCUGACAUGUCAGGCAGUGGCAUAUUCUGAAGAGCUGCUCUGGUUUAUCACACCUUUCACUUUUGCCAGAAGUCCUCCCAAGUUUCCCAACAUAACAGCUGCACCAACAUAUGUCUGAGGGACUAGCUUUUCUUGCAAAAUAAAAUCCUCUACAAUAGGUACGACAUGCUUAUACAAUGCUUGAGAGUUGAGAAGAUCUGUCUGCAAUUACAUCCAUAAACCCCUUGAAUCUUUCUUGGAUUUCACCAGAUUAAUCCACAUAAUACAGUACAUAACUGCAGAGAGGUUAACAAAAAACUGCUCAGCCUCUUCCAUGUCAUUGUCAGAGGUUUGUGUCCAGUGUUAUGUAAGCUACUGAGCUUCCAUGUGAAUGCGACCUGGACAGGAUCCCAACAUUCAGAAGACUCACCCGUACUGGACAGGUCUAUCUACUAACUGGUAGGGGUGAAUCAUUGCUUUGUUAAUUUAAUUUAUUAAUUUAGGCUCUUUGUUCAUUACAUACGUAUACAGUGAGUUCUGCUAUAACGCGUGUUUUGAUAACGCGAAUUUGCUCUAACGCGAUUUAUGAAUUCGGAACAAUAUUU